rnacentral:tRNA from 1 species
GGUAAGAUGGCUCAGUGGAAGAGCCCUUGCCUUGCAUGCAUGAGGCCCUGGGUUCAAUUCCCCAGCACCA